UUCAACUCCAAAGAACCAGAUGCCUUUCCUAAAUGAAACUCAUUACCUCUAAUCUCAUCACCAAGCUGUUAACUCAAGCCUUGACUGACACCACCUACCUCAGCCUCCUCUUUCUUCUGAUUAGGGGACUAGACAUGCCACUAUGUGCUUGUGAACUACAGAACCAUAGCAGAUCACAAGACUUGAAAAGACUCAGACACUUCCUUGAUGUGUGACCCUGGUUUCAGGUGCAGGAGAUAGAAUCCCCAUUGGACCCAGGAUUGAGCCAUGGUGACCUUGGAGCCAAGAUUCCAGGCUACAAUUUGGGAAAUGACCCUCAGAGCUACUACAGUGCUUCUUGGAGGAGGAGAAGAUGACCACCUACAGAAGCAGGAGCCGAGCUCAUGGAGUGGCUUGCCAGAAGAUAUGACCUUGAGAGAGAGGACAGAGCUGAAAUGGAGUGAAAUGCCUAUUCAAUAAUCCUUCUAAAUGCUUCAUGUUUUAAUUUCAAGUAUCAACCACCAGGAGAAUAUUAUGAGCAGAUUUACCAUUUAUGGGCAGAAGGUUUGAAGGAAUGGAAAUACAUGCUGAUCUCUCAUGGCCUAAGAUGUUGAUCAAUGAUGGGAAGUGAAUAAACUAUACCAGUAAGUUUAAUUCAUACCAGCCUAGUUCUGUUCUGAUUAUUUUAAUUUUUUUAAAGGUCUAUUGAUUUUUUUUUUCUGUAAUGAUUGUUUCAUGAUAAACCCUCCACCACAUUGAAUCCUCCCUUGGAAACAAAAAGAAAACAAUUAAGAAAACUUGAUUAACAAAGUGAUGACAUCUAAUGAUAUAGGAAGCAUUCCACACCCAGAUGUCCCCAUAUGCCUACUAAAAGGAAGGGAGUGUGUUUCAUUUCAUAUUUUCUGGAAACAAGAUUAGUCAAUGCAACUAACCUGAAUUCAUAUGCUUUUGAAUAUAGUUUUCAUUUACAUUAUUGUAGUUGUUUUGUAUAUUGUACUCGUAGUUCUGCUUUCUUCCCUCUGCCACAGUUCAUAUAAGUCUUUUAUAUUGGAGCUGGGCUUAGUGUGGACAACUGAUUGGCUCUAACCCUCCCUACCACAGCUCAGAACUCCUGUACCAACUUCAUCAUCCUCUGGUAGCAAGGAUUACAGGACUGCAUGAUUGGCUAUGCUGCCAUACUGGCAUAGUUCGAAAUAGUUUUGAUGGUUACUGCCUUAUAGUAUUGUUUGAGAUCUAGUUAUACUAAUUCAGGGAGGACUAGCACCUCCGGUAUAAGGGUUUGCUGAGCUCUUUUCA